rnacentral:rRNA from 1 species
CAGUAGCCGCGGUAAAACGGAGGGAGCUAGCGUUGUUCGGAAUUACUGGGCGUAAAGCGCACGUAGGCGGUUACUCAAGUCAGAGGUGAAAGCCCGGGGCUCAACCCCGGAACUGCCUUUGAAACUAGGUGACUAGAAUCUUGGAGAGGUCAGUGGAAUUCCGAGUGUAGAGGUGAAAUUCGUAGAUAUUCGGAAGAACACCAGUGGCGAAGGCGACUGACUGGACAAGUAUUGACGCUGAGGUGCGAAAGCGUGGGGAGCAAACAGGAUUAGAUACCCCCGUAGUCCCUGUCUCUUAUAC